rnacentral:rRNA from 1 species
UACGUAGGGGGCAAGCGUUAUCCGGAUUUACUGGGUGUAAAGGGGGCGCAGACGGCGAUGCAAGUCAGGAGUGAAAGCCCGGGGCCCAACCCCGGGACUGCUCUUGGAACUGCGUGGCUGGAGUGCAGGAGGGGCAGGCGGAAUUCCUGGUGUAGCGGUGAAAUGCGUAGAUAUCAGGAGGAACACCGGUGGCGGAGGCGGCCUGCUGGACUGCAACUGACGUUGAGGCCCGAAAGCGUGGGGAGCAAACAGG